AACGAACGCUGGCGGCAGGCCUAACACAUGGAAGUCGAGCGAGACCUUCGGGUCUAGCGGCGGACGGGUGAGUAACGCGUGGGAACGUGCCCUUUUCUACGGAAUAGCCUCGGGAAACUGAGCGUAAUACCGUAUACGCCCUUUGGGGGAAAGAUUUAUCGGAGAAGGAUCGGCCCGCGUUGGAUUAGGUAGUUGGUGGGGUAAUGGCCUACCAAGCCUACGAUCCAUAGCUGGUUUGAGAGGAUGAUCAGCCACACUGGGACUGAGACACGGCCCAGACUCCUACGGGAGGCAGCAGUGGGGAAUCUUAGACAAUGGGGGCAACCCUGAUCUAGCCAUGCCGCGUGAGUGAUGAAGGCCUUAGGGUUGUAAAGCUCUUUCAGCUGGGAAGAUAAUGACGGUACCAGCAGAAGAAGCCCCGGCUAACUCCGUG
rnacentral:rRNA from 1 species